rnacentral:rRNA from 1 species
GCCAGUCGGUCCCUGCUCGGAGGAAUCGCGAUCGAGCUCGUUGCGCGGUACGUUUCGGCGUGUCGCGCGGCGAAGACGCGACUCUCUGGCUGACGGCGGACAGUAAGCAACGGUGUCCGGCGUCGUGUCUCGCACUCGACGUCCGGUGCCGGUCKGCGACGAUUUCUUCGGGCCUCUUUCCGACCCGUCUUGAAACACGGACCAAGGAGUCUAACAUGCGCGCGAGUCGCGGGGCAUCGAGCGUACCGCACGGUGCGCUCGUCAUAUGCGAAACCCGUCUCUGAAAGGCGUAAUGAAAGUGAACAGGGAAGAUGGCGUUCCGAGACCACGUACCGUGAUCGAGUGUCGCGGCCGGACGUCCGCACUCCCGGGGCGUCUCAAUGGCUCGUCGCGGACGCGGACGAUCGUCUCUCCGGGGACGGUGGUCGGUCUGCGUCGGACCGAGGCGCACCUACAGCGUGCACGUUGGUACCCGAAAGAUGGUGAACUAUGCCUGGCCAGGAUGAAGUCAGGGGAAACCCUGAUGGAGGUCCGCAGCGAUUCUGAC